GUACCAUCCUAGGUCAAAGCACCACAUCCACAAUCCAAGAAUCAGACUCCACCCCCUCAAAAUCCUUAGGAGGUGGCUCCCGAGUAAUUCAACCUACUCAUACAGUAGGUGCGGACUCUGAUUGUAGCCAUCCAAGCAAUUCAGUACACGAUCGUAGCCCCUCAACCGAUCUUACAGCAAGCACCUCGAUAGUAAUAGCAACCUCAGCCACUUCCCUGAAGUCCUAAUCAAGCACAACAAAAUAGACAUAACCCACUAAGUAGUCCAGAAUGGGGGCAUCGAAGGCCCUUCUUGACCCCUCAAUUAGAAAAAGACUCCACCCUGAGGAGAUCGCCACCUCGACAUUUCGAGCACUAUACUGUUCAGGAUGCUGAUGUGGAUCACAAACUUUAGGAGAUACAUCGACAAAUUGAAUCAUUGUGGGGUUGGGCCUUGGCGUA
rnacentral:lncRNA from 1 species